GCUUACGGCCAUACCACCCGAUCUCGUCUGAUCUCGGAAUCUAAGCAGGGUCGGGCCUGGUUAGUACUUGGAUGGGAGACCACCUGGGAAUACGAGGUGCUGUAAGCU
rnacentral:rRNA from 1 species